rnacentral:rRNA from 1 species
UACGUAGGUGGCAAGCGUUGUCCGGAUUUACUGGGCGUAAAGAGCGCGCAGGCGGUCGUUCAAGUCGCGUGUGAAAGCCCCCGGCUCAACUGGGGAGGGUCACGCGAUACUGAUCGACUCGAAGGCAGGAGAGGGUAGUGGAAUUCCCGGUGUAGUGGUGAAAUGCGUAGAUAUCGGGAGGAACACCAGUGGCGAAGGCGACUACCUGGGCUGUUAUUGACGCUGAGGCGCGAAAGCUAGGGGAGCAAACGGG